ensembl:lncRNA
ACUCUCAGCCACCAGCCUAGGCCAGGCCUCUUUCCACUCCCAGACCUCUGAGGGCUCCUGUAUGUUCCUGUACUGCACUGCAAGUUAUCCACCCUGGGAAGGAGCCGAACACCCUCCUGGGGUCGCUGAGACAGCCAGUCAGCUGGCUCGAUCCUAGCGGGCAGCUUGAUCACGCGCAGAGAGAGGCCUUGGGCCUGUGCACUUGUACACAGAGCCCUGCCAGGUCCUGGAGUCCACAGCAAUGUCCCCAAAUCUCUUUGGAGGACCUGUGGUCACCUAACCUCUUGUAAGGAGGUACAGUUCACAUUAGUGUAUCAAAGGCUCCGAGAAGCCCUGCUUUCCUCUGACUGAUCCAGUUUACCAGGAUUCCCUCAAAACCAACUUUAUGGGUGGAAUUUUUAUCACGUAAACUUUUUUUUUUUCCUGAAUAAGAUUUUCAAGACUUUGGCAUUCUACAGAACAAUUUGUACUUACCAGAAACCUGCAAGGCACUUGCCCUGCUGGCAGAACAACAUCCUGGAAUUCUGAAAAAAGCUGUCAGGCCCAGAAAGGAAGGAAGAUACAAGUGGUUGGAAGUUUCCAGAGCACCGUGCAAGUUUCCAAAGUAAGCUGCUGCCCACCGGAGCAGGAGGCCAGAAUACACAGUGAGGCGGAGCACAGGUGCUUUUCCCGCGCAGAGGAUGGACGCGCCAAGCAGCAUCUGAUCCAUACCAGUGCUGCCCUCCCUGGAAAGUCCUCCAUGUCGUUCUGCUCUGAUGCACAUAGAAAGUUCAACAGGGUGACCAAGGAGACAGCGUGCAAAAAGACCUGGAGGAUGAAGAGGACUUGAAGGGUUUGGGGACCGAGAAACGGUUUGCUCUGGUUGAGGUGGUGACGAAGCAGGAGGCUGGAGAGGAAAGCUAGGACCUGAGUAUGAAGGAGCCUCCAAGCCAUGCUAAGAAGAGAUUGGACUUGAUCCCAAGAACUGUAGGGAGCUGCUGAAUGAUAGAUAGAGUGAAGCAGUGUGGGCUGGCCUGACCAGUUACGUCCCAUUUUACAGAUGAGAAGAGAGAGGCACAGAGAGCUGGCAUGACCAGCAGUGUCAGCACGUGAAUCUACAUCCCUAAUCCUUGAAGACCCUUCUGUCCCAUCUUUUGCCUCAAGUCUCCCACUUCCAUCUUUUAGGACCCCACAGGCCACGAAAAUGCUGUGGAGAUCCAGAACCAAAGGGUUUCCUUUGGGAUCAUACAGAACAAGCCUAACCUCUUCCCUAUGUGCCAGCUUUCUAAAGUCAUCCUGAGUCUGCUCUUCUCCAGCAAGGUGUCCCAGCUGUGUGACCUUGGACAGUACACUGCCCUCUCUGAGCCUUGGGUUGCUCAUGUAUUAAAACAGGGAUAAUAUUUGUGAAGGAUGUGAAGGGUGAGUGUAGCAUGUCUGGUUCAUGGUAAGCCCUGAGUAGACAGUGGCUGCUAUUACUUGAAGACAGAGGUCCUUCGCCCAAUGUUCACACACUUUUGGAUGCCUCAGUUAAUCAAUGCAUCAACAAAUAUUUUGAAGGCUAGUGUUGUUUAGUUGCUAAGUCUUUUGGGACCCCAUGGACUAUCACCCUCCAGGCUCCUCUGUCCAGGGAAUUCCCCAUGGUGAGAAUACUGGUGUGGGUUGCUGUUUCCUUCUCCAGGGGAUCUUUCCAACCCAGGGGUUGAACCCACAUUUCCUGCAUUGGCAGGUGGAUUCUUUACCACUGAGUCAUCAGGGAAGCCCUUUUAAGGUUAUAGGGAAUCCUAAAUAGAGCUCACAGUGGAAGCUGGGACCAAAUAGAAUAGGUCCCUCAGUAUCUGCCCCAGCAGGACAAAUCAUAGAAAGCAGUGCUGAGCUUCCAGGAACGACCCUCAGACGGCCCACAGAGCAACCUCCAGAGUUUGGUUGAGUGAGUAGGAGCUAGUCUUCCCUUUCCUUUUGGAAGCUUUCAUUAAUCCACUUCUGUGUUUCAGCAGUCUCUUUCCUCUGACUUGAUGUUGAUUUCUUUAAGCAGUUCCCUUUCCAGGAAAAAACUGCCCUCUA